UACGUAGGGGGCAAGCGUUGUCCGGAUUUAUUGGGCGUAAAGAGCUCGUAGGUGGUUUGGUAAGUCGGAUGUGAAAUCUCCAGGCUCAACCUGGAGGGGUCAUUCGAUACUGCCAUGACUAGAGGUCGGUAGGGGAGAGUGGAAUUCCUGGUGUAGCGGUGAAAUGCGCAGAUAUCAGGAAGAACACCCGUGGCUAAGGCGGCUCUCUAGUACGGUACUGACGCUGAGACGCGAAAGCGUGGGGAGCGAACAGG
rnacentral:rRNA from 1 species